AUAUUUGUCAACCUCUGCUCCCACACUGUGUGAGGGAGAAAGGAUAGAGAUAGAAAGAGAGAGGGGGGAGAGGGAGAAAGCAAGAUAUGCACUAACUAAUGAAACUGUUCUUAUGCAUCCAGAAGUUCAUCAUAGGAUUGAGUCCUAAUCAUUGUUGCUAGGGUUUUCAUGUAGGGGAAGGAAAGCUGCUCUUCGUCGAUUGCCACCGGAGUCUCUUGAAAUCAAUUGCCACCGGAGUCUCACGAGAGCAGCAACGACGACGUCUGUUAAGGCAGCCUCCGGGACGGCAAUGCCGGUUCCCCUUGCCCCUUAUCCAACUCCACCUGCACCGUUCACACCACCCACUCCCAAUGCAGGGGCUCAAAGCCAGCUUGUCUGCUCCGGGUGCCGGAAUCUGCUCAUGUACCCUGCCGGCGCGACGUCGGUAUGCUGCGCAGUUUGCAGUACCGUGACCGCUGUGCCGGCUCCCGGGACGGAGAUGGCGCAGUUAGUUUGCGGAGGAUGCCACACUCUCCUAAUGUACAUACGUGGCGCGACAAGUGUGCAAUGUUCUUGUUGCCACACUGUGAACCUGGCCAUGGAAGCGAAUCAGGUUGCGCAUGUAAACUGCGGGAACUGCCGAAUGCUGCUCAUGUACCAGUACGGCGCAAGGUCUGUUAAAUGUGCGGUCUGCAGUUUUGUGACAUCAGUUGGGGCAACACCUGGUGCAGACCAGAAGUCCAGCAACUGAAACACAUGCAAGACUAUAAUGAAGGAUGCUUUGAGUGCACAUGUAUAGAGUUCUUCCCUGAAGCAAUCUCCAUUUCUUCCCUUCCUUCAUUGGAACUGGCGGGCCUGCGGAAUAAAACAAGAGUUUUUGCCCUAUAUCGGCCGAGAUCGAUGGCGAUGCCGGAUGCACCAGAUGGCGCACUGGACGGAGGGGCUGGCCGUGACCACAGAGGCGGCCAGGAGGAACAUGCCCCCCCAUACUAGGAGCCAGUUGGCCUUGAUGCUCUUGUCUCCAGCCUGGGAGUAGAUGAGCAGGCAUACAGCGGCGGCGAGGCAGGUCACCGGGACAACGCAGACCAAGGUGAAGCACUCCUGCCAGACGACCUGAUCGCCGCGAGCAAGGCAGCGACAACCGCGAUGACCGGCAUGCUCGCCCUGAGGACUGGUGGCGCCCUCAGGAUUCUCCAGAUCCACCAUGGUCGCAGGGUAUAUGAUAUAUGCAAUGCAAUGCAGAGCUAUAUGAAGACAUUGUUCCAGAUUGUAUAACAGGAAACUCUGCUUUGUACUAUACUUCCCUAUCAACUACUGGUAGUCAGAAGAGGAAAUCUUAUGGGCAA